GUGGUGAAUCCUGUGGUGAAUGUAAGGAUGAAUGUCAGGAUGAGUGUCAGGAUGAAUCCUGUGGUACCUUCACAGUAGUGGAUUUUAGUUGAUGCUAUGUUUUGGCGCAAAAGCCACAUUAAGGAAAGGUUUUAUGAGUAAUAUUGUGGUUUUUCGAUGUAAAUUGCAAAGCUCGCGACAGAAGUGAUUACGAUGCGCUACAAUCAUGGCCAUUUCAAAAGAAGAUCACAAUGAUGUUAAUGGAUCAAGGAAAUGGUGAUCACAUAAUUGAUGCUUUUCAUUCAGAUCCUCAAAGUUCCUCAUUUCAACGACCAAAGUCUGAUAUGAAUAUCGCUUCUGGAUCACCACUCUUCAUGCCAUUGGAAAGUUUAAAUAAUCGUCAGUAUAUCAAAGAUGAUACAUUGUUUAUAAAAAUGAUCGUCGACUGAGUUUACAGCUACUGGAAAUAAUAUCUCAUAGAAAAAUACUUUUCAAGAGGAAGCUGAUAUUUCAUGAAAAAUGCUUUUCAAGUGAAAGUUCGAAGUAUGAGAUUAGAUUCAGACUUUCUUCCAAAAAGUUCAAAAGACCAAUGCAAUCACGUUCGUUUGUUUUUUGUUUGUUGAACAACAAAUGCUUAGUUUUCCUUCUUUAAUUUUCUUUAAUUUUUGAAAGUAUAAACUCGUUUAAAGA